rnacentral:lncRNA from 1 species
AAUUACUAUUUUACAGUAGAAUUAUUAAUUAAUCUCAUUAAUUAAUACUAAUUAACCCUACACUAGGAUCUAAAUAUGAUACAACAGCAUGCAUUUAAAUUUGAAAUUCAAAUUUAAAACAGUAAACUUUUUACUGUACUGUGUUCAGAACACAUCACCUUUUAUGGGUAGUUGAUCACCGCAAUCUGAUCACUGUCAGGGGGCUCUGAUCGUCACAUCGUAGCCACACUAGUGUCUGGCCUCUGCGGAUCAUCCACAUGAAGCUCCCGUCUGAUCGGCUCCUCACGAAUGCUAGUUCAUGAUUUCACCCUUUUGAUGGUUGAUGUUGAUCGAAUCCUUCGAUCGAUGUGUGCCGACUCCUCGGAUGCUCCGGAUCGUCUGCACGGUUGGAUGAGAGGCUGAUGGAUCUCUUUCUGAAAUUUGGUGGACUCACGACACUCGUGGCACACCAAUUUCACUUCCCGAACCCUAGGUAGAAACCUUAGGGUACACACCAAAAACCCUGCGCCCACUUCUCUCUCCUUUUUCUCUCCUCUCGGUAAAUUUUGAACACUUCAAAAUUUUUUCAGAACCUCCCCACGCCCCUUAUCUCUUCUUUCUUUUUUUGCCCACGCCCCCUCCCUUUCUCAUUUUAUAAAACAUCGCAAGAGAUGUUGAAAG